rnacentral:rRNA from 1 species
CUGAAAGCCUAGCCUAACAAUUAACUCACAAUAUAAAAUCACAACCCAAAAUAUUUUAACAAUUUAGUAUAGAAGAUUAAAAAAUUUAUUAGAGCUAUAAAUAUGUACCGCAAGG